GCUAAUAAAAAUAAUAUUCACCCUAAAUGUCUAAAAAGGUAAGGAACAUAUUUUAAAGUUAAACUUCAGAACUGUUAUUGUAGUCAUUUUUCUCAAUUAAGACAAUACAUUUAUCUUUUUAUCCUAUUUCCCUUUGGGAGAAUAGUCCCCUAACAAAAUGAGCUCUCAACCACAUUGAGUCGUGUGUGCAUAUGUGUGUGUGUGUGUGUGUGUGUGUGUGUGUGUUGAGUUAGUUAUUAAUUUAAAAGAUGAAUUUUGUGAAAACGUUUUUCUUGAUGUUUCAUUUCUAUGACAUUGACCUUAAACUUUCCAUUUUAUUUCUCUAAAGUACCUCAGGAAAGAAAUGUUAUGAAUAAACGUCAAGAAGAAGAAAAGGAAAGAGAAGAGAUCAUGAGAAAGUCACAGGGGAUUCCUGUUUCAGGAAAUCCUCAGGGGAAAAAAGAACAACAUCAGAGAGAAUACGCUCAGUCCCUUUGUCAUCAGAAGGUGCAUGGAAAUGAAAUGAUGCUUCCUUUGACUGCUGAGAUAGUCUUUGAAUUUUGCAGUUCCAAUUCUCAGAAGACAACGAUCAGAAAUAACUUUGGAGGUGUUUGA
rnacentral:lncRNA from 9 species